AUGUGGUGUAUAGUGUCACACUAGAUUUUCGUUCUAGGGGAGUAAUUUUAAUGUUACCAU
rnacentral:tRNA from 1 species